AUCUAGGCUCUUGCAUCGAUGAAGAACGUAGCGAAAUGCGAUACUUGGUGUGAAUUGCAGAAUCCCGUGAACCAUCGAGUCUUUGAACGCAAGUUGCGCCCGAUGCCAUUAGGUUGAGGGCACGUCUGCCUGGGUGUCACAUAUCGAAGCCUCCUGCCAAUAAUUUU
rnacentral:rRNA from 4 species